CCUACGGGAGGCAGCAGUGAGGAAUAUUGGUCAAUGGACGAGAGUCUGAACCAGCCAAGUAGCGUGAAGGAUGACUGCCCUAUGGGUUGUAAACUUCUUUUAUAUGGGAAUAAAAUGUUCCACGUGUGGGAUUUUGUAUGUACCAUAUGAAUAAGGAUCGGCUAACUCCGUGCCAGCAGCCGCGGUAAUACGGAGGGUCCGAGCGUUAUCCGGAUUUAUUGGGUUUAAAGGGAGCGUAGGUGGAUUGUUAAGUCAGUUGUGAAAUUUUGCGGCUCAACCGUAAAAUUGCAGUUGAAACUGGCAGUCUUGAGUACAGUAGAGGUGGGCGGAAUUCGUGGUGUAGCGGUGAAAUGCUUAGAUAUCACGAAGAACUCCGAUUGCGAAGGCAGCUCACUGGACUGCAACUGACACUGAGGCUCGAAAGUGCGGGUAUCAAACAGGAUUAGAUACCCCAGUAGUC
rnacentral:rRNA from 1 species